rnacentral:rRNA from 1 species
CUGCGAGUGACAGGGAAGAGCCCAGCACCGAAGUCUGUGGCCGUUUGGUCACUAGACAAUGUGGUGUUCAGGUCGUUCCGCAGAGGUACUGCUCCACUCUAAGUCCAGCAAUGAGUACGGUGGUACGGACAUGGCCCACAGAGGGUGAAAGGCCCGUGGGGGUGGAGACUCGGUAUGACAGUGCCUCUCUGGGUAGACCUUGGAGUCGGGUUGUUUGUGAAUGCAGCCCAAAGUGGGUGGUAAACUCCAUCCAAGGCUAAAUACCAACACGAGUCCGAUAGCGAACAAGUACCGUGAGGGAAAGUUGAAAAGUACUUUGAAGAGAGAGUAAACAGUGCGUGAAACCGCUCAGAGGUAAACGGGUGGAGUUGAACUGCAAGCACCGAGAAUUCAAACGGUGAGUGUGACUUGAGCUUGGUUAAAUUGGUUGAGCCUGGAAGUCUGCGUAAUGGCAGGCCUGUGCCUUUGGUAUGGGUGCGCGAUGCACUUAUCAAGUGUUGUGCGCUUUCAGUGUUCUUCGAAUCAACUUGCCGGUGCACUUUCUCGGUGUGUUCACCACGACCGGCACUGCUGUCUGACUGCUGUGGUCAAACCGGUCUUGCUUGGUCCUUGUGGCUUUGUUUGAUCGGGAUGGCAGGUAACUCGUUGGCUUGUCUGUGGCUUGCUGCAGGCAUAUGGCUCUCGAGUGUAAUGAGCUGAUCGCAGUGGUUUUGUGCAGUGUGUCGGAGACGGCGGCUUGUGGUGUGUGCAUGCGUACCUGUCUGGUUAGCGGGUCUGAGUUUGGUUGUCAUGUUGCCUGUUCAAGCAGGCCUGGCGAUGACCUGGAUCCGUUUGACUGGUGGUUGCGUGUGUGACAGUUUCCAGGGCCAAUAGUCUGUGGUGUAGUGGUAGACUAUCCACCUGACCCGUCUUGAAACACGGACCAAGGAGAGUAACAUGUGCGCGAGUCAUUGGGCGUUACGAAACCCAAAGGCGCAGUGAAAGUAAAGGUCUGACUUGUUCAGGCUGAGGUGAGAUCCUGUCGUUUCUCACGCGCGGUAUCACCAAGCACCGAGCGGCAGGCGCAUCACCAGCCCGUCCCAUGAUAAUGAUUUUCGGAUUUUCCUCAGUCGGGGCGGAGCAUGAGCGUACAUGUUGAGACCCGAAAGAUGGUGAACUAUGCUUGUGCAGGUUGAAGCCAGAGGAAACUCUGGUGGAGGACCGUAGCGGUUCUGACGUGCAAAUCGAUCGCCAGACAUGAGUAUAGGGGCGAAAGACUAAUCGA